rnacentral:rRNA from 1 species
GACGAACGCUGGCGGCGUGCCUAAUACAUGCAAGUAGAACGCAGUUGCGAACGGGUGAGUAACGCGUAGGUAACUGCCUGGUAGCGGGGGAUAACUAUUGGAAACGAUAGCUAAUACCGCAUACUACCAGAUGGACCUGCGUUGUAUUAGCUAGUUGGUGAGGUAACGGCUCACCAAGGGAACGAUACAUAGCCGACCUUGAGGGGUGAUCGGCCAAACUUGGAACUGGACACGGCCCAGACUCCUACGGGGGGCAGCAGUAGGGAAUCUUCGGCAAUGGGGGGAAACCUGACCGAGCAACGCCGCGUGGGUGAAGAAGGUUUUCGGAUCGUAAAGCUCUGUUGUUAAGGAAGCGUUACUUAACCAGAAAGCGACGGCUAACUACGUGCCAGCAGCCGCGGUAAUUC